ACCGUGCAGGCAGCCUUUGGAAUUGGACGAGCACUCAAGGUGCCACAAGGGAUGACGGCCACAGCGUCCAACACUGGAAUUCCUGCGGAGCAGAUGAUGAAGAGGAACCUGGCAACUGCAGGAAUAUCCUGGUUUGCUGAUGUGGUUUUUGCUGAGGAUGGAUUCAGACCCCUGCCGUCUGACAGCUAAGUUGAGGGACCGGGGACCG